rnacentral:tRNA from 1 species
AAGCAGCUAGUUUAAACAAAACAAUUAAUUUCGGCUUAGUAACUCCAGGCUCGGACCCUGGGCUGCUAA